UGGGGAAUAUUGGACAAUGGGCGCAAGCCUGAUCCAGCCAUGCCGCGUGAGUGAUGAAGGCCCUAGGGUUGUAAAGCUCUUUCACCGGUGAAGAUAAUGACGGUAACCGGAGAAGAAGCCCCGGCUAACUUCGUGCCAGCAGCCGCGGUAAUACGAAGGGGGCUAGCGUUGUUCGGAUUUACUGGGCGUAAAGCGCACGUAGGCGGACUUUUAAGUCAGGGGUGAAAUCCCGGGGCUCAACCCCGGAACUGCCUUUGAUACUGGAAGUCUUGAGUAUGGUAGAGGUGAGUGGAAUUCCGAGUGUAGAAGUGAAAUUCGUAGAUAUUCGGAGGAACACCAGUGGCGAAGGCGGCUCACUGGACCAUUACUGACGCUGAGGUGCGAAGGCGUGGGGAGCAAACAGG
rnacentral:rRNA from 1 species